UACAGAGACUGCAAGCGUUAUUCGGAUUCACUGGGCGUAAAGGGUGCGCGGGCGGCCGUGUGUGUCAGGUGUGAAAGCCCGGGGCUUAACCCCGGAAUUGCGCCUGAAACUACAUGGCUAGAGCAUUGGAGAGGGUAGCGGAAUUCACGGUGUAGCAGUGAAAUGCGCAGAUAUCGUGAGGAACACCAGAGGCGAAGGCGGCUACCUGGACAAUUGCUGACGCUCAGGCACGAAAGCGUGGGGAGCAAAAGGG
rnacentral:rRNA from 1 species